GCUGCCGUUGUCUAGUGUGGAUGACAGAAUAUAAUGCGAUGGAGUCAGCAGAAUGGCAUAUUAUGAAAAAAUCGGCAAUACGGUUUGCAUAAUUUCUUUAAGAUUUACACAAACCCUAACAGUAGCAUAAUGGCAUGGAGCUUUAUCGAAUGAUUCCGCUUGAUGAUCAGCAGUGUGCCUGAACUAAGCUUCUUCUCUUGACUCGUUUGAUAGAUCUUCACGAACUUGGUCUGGAUGGAACAUGUUAAAAUUUGGAUAGAAAAUGGCACAUGAUGAAUGUCACAGCUGAGUAGACUGAGCUUGGGAAUUAAUUAAAAAUAGGCACAUGAUGAAUGUCACAGCUGAGCAGACUGAGCUUGGGAAUCAUUAUCAAGAAUGUAGGCACAUGAUGAAUGUCACAGCUGCGCAGACUGAGAAUCAACCCACUGAACUUUCUGAAAAUUCGGAACAUGGAACGCGGUACUGAACAUACUUGACAGCUUCCAAUUUUAAAAGAAGAAAGCCGAUCUACAUAUACUAGUAUUUUAAAUUUGUGCAUAGUACUUAAAUCUCUAAAAUCUUUAAACAAUACAACAUCAAGUUUAAUUCUCCGAAAAAUUACAGAAGCAAUCACUGAGCGACUUUGCAGCUGUCACUAAGGUGACAUCUUGUGUCAUUUCCUAGCAAUAUAUGUGG